rnacentral:rRNA from 1 species
UACGUAGGGUGCAAGCGUUGUCCGGAAUUAUUGGGCGUAAAGAGCUUGUAGGCGGUUUGUCGCGUCUGCUGUGAAAUUUCGGGGCUCAACCCCGAACUUGCAGUGGGUACGGGCAGACUAGAGUGUGGUAGGGGAGACUGGAAUUCCUGGUGUAGCGGUGAAAUGCGCAGAUAUCAGGAGGAACACCGAUGGCGAAGGCAGGUCUCUGGGCAGUAACUGACGCUGAGGAGCGAAAGCGUGGGGAGCGAACAGG